GAGCAGGAGCCCUCGGUGGCAGUGCUUGGGUGUCGAGGCUCUGAGGCUCCGGCCUCACCUCUCCACGGGGUCGAAGGGAACGUCUCCGGAUGCCAGGAGUCGCAAAGGGCCGACCAUGAUGAUGAAACCCCAGGCAGAGACGGGGGAAGCAGCACGGGAUCCCAGCCUCAGGCCUGCACGGACGGUGUUGGUUGGGAGACGAGGUCUCACUAUAUUGACCAGGCUGGUCUUGAACUCCUGGCCUUAAGCGAUCCUCCUGCCUUGGCCUCCCAAAGUGCUGGAGUUACAGAUGUGAGCCUCUGUGCUCAGUCCAUCCUUGGCUGUUCAAGUGUAGAGAAAUUGCCACUCCCUCUCCAGCCCUCAGCAACCACCACCUCGAUCAGUCACUAGCUAUCAACAUUGAGACAAGACCAUCCAGCAGCAAAAUGAUGAUGACUUACUGAAGGCCCAGAUGAUGGUUAGCAGUUUUUGGCAAUCACGUAUUUUCAAAGGACACGGCUUCCCCUGAACGCGGAUCCUAGAGGCCAGGCAGAAGCAGCAUGGGUUUCCACUCACACGGUAGGCGGCUGUGCAAUUUCGUCUGGAGUCCCCAGACCCCUCCUCAUCCUUCCCAGGGUUGCUCUGAGGCCAUUCCUUGUCAUCUAGGAGGGGUCUACAUAAAAGCAUUUAUAAACACCUCCAAAUGGGAGCCAGGCGUGCCCACCUUUGGAGCACUUUUCUCUACUGCAAAUUUAUCUACUGCUCGUGAAAUCUCUGGAUUUAACUCUGAUGAAAGACUGGAGGCUGAAGGAGAACUUCAAUAUCAUAUAUUUUAAAGGUUGAUUCACAGUUUGGAGCAAGAAUUAAAGAACCACGAACUUCAAGGUAAAACGGGCAACGGCGUUGGGGCAAGCCUCUCUGCAUCUGCGUGUCCAGCCUCUCCUGCGUGCCAGAAGUUCCCAGGCAGGAGUGUGGUGGGACAUCCGGCUGGGGUAAGGACAGGCACCCUCCCACUGUGUCAGGGCCCAGAGAGUGGGUGGAGAAGCUCUGCAAGAGACCUGUGCAAGGGCGCCUUGCAGGAGCCUGCAGUCCCCACAGGUGUGUUUGUGGAUAACACUUGGGGAGCCCUGGCCUUUUGGGGUCACGGAGGGCUUGGCCUCUCACCUCAGAGCUGCAGAGAAGCCGCUUCUACAUCAGGACAUCAGAAGCUGGAACAGGAUGGCCGGCGAGGGGCCUCUUGUUGGGGUCACAGAGAUGGGUCGCAGAGAUGGCCCGUGUGGAAGGUUGGAUUCUCACCCCACCUCUGCCCCUAGAUGUCCUGGUGACCCUCCCCUCUGUAGUCUUGGUUUUUUGCAAAACAGUUAUGACCUCCUGCCAUACUGGGUACUUUGCUUAUGUAUUGUGUUUACUCUUUACUGUGUGUCUCUCCUGCUAAGGUCUACGAAGAAGGGUCUUUGUGGGUGGGGUUCUUAGAGGCAUCCCAAGUACCAGAAGCAGUCCCUGGACUAAGGGGCUCAAUAAAUAUUUUUUAUUUAUUAUUUUUUCUUUUUGAGAUGGAGUCUCGCUCUCUUGACCAGGCUGGAGUACAGUGGCACAAUCUUGGCUCACUGCAGCCUUCGCCUCCUGGGUUCAAGUGAUUUCCGGCUAAUUUUUGUAUUUUUAGUAGUGACGGGGUAUCAC
ensembl:lncRNA FAM27C family with sequence similarity 27 member C